rnacentral:rRNA from 1 species
UACAGGGGGUGCAAACGUUGCUCGGAAUCAUUGGGCGUAAAGCGCACGUAGGCGGUCUGUUAUGUCGGAUGUGAAAGCCCUUGGCUUAACUGAGGAAGUGCAUCCGAAACUGGCAGGCUAGAGUACUAAAGAGGGUCGCGGAAUUCCCGGUGUAGAGGUGAAAUUCGUAGAUAUUCGCAAGAACACCAGUGGCGAAGGCGGCUCACUGGCCCGGAACUGACGCUGAGGUGCGAAAGCGUGGGGAGCAAACAGG